rnacentral:rRNA from 1 species
UACGAAGGGGCUAGCGUUGCUCGGAAUCACUGGGCGUAAGGGUGCGUAGGCGGGUUUUAAGUCAGGGGUGAAAUCCUGGAGCUCAACUCCAGAACUGCCUUUGAUACUGGGGAUCUUGAGUCCGGAAGAGGUGAGUGGAACUGCGAGUGUAGAGGUGAAAUUCGUAGAUAUUCGCAAGAACACCAGUGGCGAAGGCGGCUCACUGGUCCGGUACUGACGCUGAGGUGCGAAAGCGUGGGGAGCAAACAGG